GAUGAACGCUGGCGGCGUGCCUAAUACAUGCAAGUCGAGCGAACAGACGAGGAGCUUGCUCCUCUGACGUUAGCGGCGGACGGGUGAGUAACACGUGGAUAACCUACCUAUAUGACUGGGAUAACUUCGGGACACCGGCGCUAAUACCGUAUAAUAUAUUGCACCGCAUGGUUCAAUAGUGAAAUACGGUUUUUCUGUCUCUUAUAGAUGGUUAUACGCUGCUUUAUCUAGUUGGUAAGGUAACGGGUUACCAAGGCAACGAUGCGUAGCCGAACUGAUAGAGUGAUAGGCCACACUGGAACUUAGACACGCUCCAUACUACUACGGGACGCACCAGUAUGGAAUCUUACGCAAUAGUCGAAAGCAUUACGCAACAACGCCACGUGAGUUAUAAAAGUCUUCCGAUCGUAAAACUCUCUUAUUAGUUAAGAACAAAUUUGUAAUUAACUAUACACUUCUUGACGGUACCUAAUCAAAAAGCAACGGCUAACUACGUG
rnacentral:rRNA from 1 species